rnacentral:lncRNA from 1 species
UGAUGUUAAAAACUAAGUUAGACAGGAAGCCACAGCGAUCACAUGAGACCAGCUUGAGUGGCUGACAGUGGCUACACGCACUAGGGGAACCAAGCAUAUGAAGAGAGAAAUGAGAGGCUUGUACUAUUUUGUUCUUUGGAUAUUUCCAAUUUUUCCCUCCACAAUACAGAAUGAAACAUGUGAGUAUGAAUAUGCUCUACAUUUUUACAUUUCUGCUCCGAAAUAUGAGUAUAAUCAUAUAAUUUUAACUCGAAAAGAGUGACUGUUGAUUAUAAUCACACUUACUCUGUUGUGACGUAUAAUAUAACAAAUUAAAGGGUUGUGAUAAAAAUGUGGAUGCAUUACAAUACUUUUUACCUCCCAUGAUAUGACUUGUUUGCAGGUGUGCCUUGUUUUAUGGUUCCACAAAUAUGUACGGAGCAAGCUAAUAUUCCAUCGUGUAUUGAAGAAGGAAUGAGAAAUUGCUCAUCUAAAGUCCCUAGGAUGGGAGUUCCAAAUUAUUUCUCUAGACCAAUUUCCUCAGAGGAAAUAGUUGAUACAGAAAGAGGAUAUAAAAUCCACGUCUCUGAAGAAGCAUUACAGAGGAGCAGCAAUAGACGGGGGGGAAACCAUAAGGAAGUGGAUUUGAUUGUGUCUAUUCUCAACGAGACUUUCUUCAGGGUCAGCAGCAGUUUAGACACCAAGGUACAUAGAAUUAUUGUACGUCUGUCCCUCAAAGCCUUGUUUUAUGUGAUUUUAUCUUCUUUGCGCAACAUAUGCAUUUCAUAA